rnacentral:tRNA from 1 species
GGCGGUGUAGCUCAGCCUGGUUAGAGCGCUACGCUCAUAACGUAGAGGUCGCGAUUUCAAAUAUACCGUUAUAUUUGUAAUUUUCAAAGUAACGGGAUUGGAAGUAUCGCCACCGCCA